UACAGAGGGGGCAAGCGUUGUUCGGAAUUACUGGGCGUAAAGGGCGCGUAGGCGGCCGCCUAAGUCAGACGUGAAAUCCCUCGGCUCAACCGGGGAACUGCGUCUGAUACUGGGUGGCUUGAAUUCGGGAGAGGAGAGUGGAAUUCCUGGUGUAGCGGUGAAAUGCGCAGAUAUCAGGAAGAACACCAAUGGCGAAGGCAGCUCUCUGGGACGGUACUGACGCUGAGACGCGAAAGCGUGGGGAGCGAACAGG
rnacentral:rRNA from 1 species